UCCCUGGUGGCUCAGAGGGUAAAGCGUCUGCCUGCAAUGUAGGAGACCUGGGUUCGAUCCCUGGGUCGGGAA
rnacentral:tRNA from 1 species